AUGGAUGGCGGCAGUUCUGCAGAUGGAGACGGUGCCGCGGACGACGGCCAUGGCGCGGCUGCGGACGAUGGCCAUGGCGCGGGUGCGGACGUGCUUGCCGAUGGCGCCGGCGGGGCUGAGGAUAGGUCAAUCCACGGCGUCGGGCUAGCCUCGGGCUGCGGUGGGGUUGAGCCAGCAUCGGGCCAGGCCGGAGACUCGGCUACAGCUGGCUCGGGCCUGGCCGGUGGCUCGGCUGCAGCUGGCUCGGGCCAGGGCGCGGCAGUGGCUGGGGUCUCCGGCGAGGGCACGGCUGGGUCGUUCAUGGCAGCAGCUUCAGGCCAGGGAGGUACUCAGUUGCCGCUAGCAACAUGGGCGUGUCCAGAUGGGAUGGAUCCAAAUUCGAGUUAUUUGCUCAAAAUUAAAUUGUUUGGCAAUCCAAAAAAAGCUCGAAAGGACAUAAGAUGUUUUUGUUUUGAGAAGGUUAUCGAUUGUGACUUGACAAAUUAUAAGGAUUUGGUCGAGUCAAUUGUAGAGCAGUACCCGCCGCGUUAUUUGGAAGUUGCACAUGUGCAAUAUUAUGACUAUGCUCUUAAAAACUGUCCAGAAGUAAAAUCUGACCAAGAUUUGAUGAUUAUGUUUGUAAAACACUCGGAGACAAAGAUGCUGCAUAUGAUUAUUGCAUAUUGUGAUCCCUCGGAACCAUAUGAGCCUAUCACCGAGUGGAAUGAACCUAAUAGCAAUAUAGAACAUGAGGAUGAUACUUACCUUCGCAACCCAAGACCUGAGAAUGAGCAUGUUGGUGUUGAUGAGGAGAAUAUGUAUGAAGUGGACGAACCUAUGCCCUUAGAUGUGGUUCUUUAUCGUAAUAAAGAAAAGGAUGAUGAAGUAGAGGCGUCUGAAGUAGAGGAGUCUGAAGUAGAGGACGAUGAAGUAGGGGAGUCUGAAGUAGAGGAUGAUGAAGUAGAGGAGGAUGAGGAGUGCCAUGAGGCAGAGCAUACUCCACAUGUAGAGUAUGACAAAUUAGACCCUCCAAUGACAAAAGGCUUUACAUAUCCCAGCAUGAAAGAUUUCAAGUUGGCACUUUCUCAGCAUGCAAUCAAACAUGAAUUUGAGUAUAAUACCGAGUAUAGUACACCUCAUCGGUUUAGGGGCUAUUGUUCAAGACAAGAUGCUGAUAAUUGUCCAUGGAGGAUACAUGCUUCUACGAUGGAGGAUAAGUGUACUAUAAUGGUGAAGAAAAACCCAUGUGGUCAUGAUUGCUCUAGUACAAGAAGGAAAAACAAGAUGAAGAAUGCAACCAAGUUUUGGAUAUGUGAUAAGGUGAAGGAUUGGCUGAUUGAAGAUGCUACUCUCGGAGCGAAGGCAUUGCGCAAAAAGAUUAAAGAACACCACAAGGUUGACAUCCACUACAAGAGGGUAUAUAUGGGGCAGCUUAUGGCCAACUAA
rnacentral:rRNA from 1 species